rnacentral:lncRNA from 1 species
GCAAAGAUCAUAAGUUAAUUGCCAUCCAUAUUAAGUUGCUUUCUAUCCAUAUUACCAUCCAAAAUAACUGCCACUUGGAACUUAAAUUGGCCUUCAACAGUUACCUCCGUAAUGGCCCAAAUUUGCUCGGCCCAAAUCAGAAAUAAAUACACUAAAAAUAAACCAAUAAAAAAAACAGUCCAUUUUAAAUGUCCAUUUACACUGGGCUCAAUACGACCCAAACUAAACACAAUCCACUAAGCCCAGAUUACAGACCCAAUUAAACCUAUGGCCCAAAACCUGACUCAGCCCAAAUGGCCCACAACAUAAACAUUUCAGCAAACCCUAGGGCGCCGCUCCUGCCUCUACCCAGCCCCAGCGCCGCAAGCCUCCUCGCGUGCCCACCACGCGCGAUGCCUCACACGAGCCGCGCCACGUCUCAGCUGGCCCUCGUACGCCCGUACACCUGCACACAACGAAUGCAACAAAGCAGAAAAGGCAGAAAAUGACAGCAAAAAUAGCAGAAAAAAAGAAAAAAAGAGGGAUUCGAGGGAGGAUUUUUUUUAUUUUUUAUUUUCUGUAAUUUGGCGCUAUAACGGAGUCAAUACAAACGUUGUAAGGGAUACACAGUUUAAGAAAUAAAAAACAAAAGAUUCAAAAAAGAGUGAUUCUAAAGGUAAAAAUCUGAAAGUUUGUCUUCUUUUUUUUUUCUCUUUUCAUUUUUCUUUUUGAUUCGUUUUUUAUACAUAAGCAAAGAAAAUAAAAGAAAAAGAAGAGUUAGAACUCGUACCUGGCAGUGCGAUCUUGGCUCUCUCUCCGUCGUCAUCGGAGUCUAGGGCAAGGUUCGGGGAGCCUUCGAAGAAGGCGAUGAACCAUCGUGCGGCGCAAAGGGAGAGAGUGCUUAGUUUUUUUUCUUUCAAAUGGCAGAUUAG